CCUCUUAUAUUUCGGACGCCGCUUCACGGCGGCUAUGACAGUAGAGGUCGGGCGGAAUAGGCUUUGCGGACCCCGGGGCGGUACCGGGCGGGUCCACCUGAACGCUUCCAGGCGCAAGCCUUGGAGCGCUGAGGCGGGCCCGAAAUAGGAUCGACGUGAGUUAAAAGGCUUAGACUGCUGUCCGGCAUGAUACCACCGUUAUCGGGUCAAACCUAUAGUUGCGAAUGACAACUAUGCUCCGGUGGCCCUCGCUGCGUAAUGCAGUGCUGGUACUGGGAUUCAAGUCCUAAGGGUUUGCACCUUUAGGCGGGGUCCGGAGGCGCCUGGCAACAGAAGCCUCCA
rnacentral:tmRNA from 1 species